ACUGGUGGGCUAGCUAACUAGCAGA
rnacentral:misc_RNA from 1 species